rnacentral:ncRNA from 2 species
CAACACCGUGCGCGAGAGUCCCCGGGCCACCCGACGAAGGAGGGCGCCGGGGCGCCGAAGGGGCAAACUCCCCGGAACCUCUCAGGCGCCAGGAGCGCGCGGAUCAG